AACCUCCGCAAUGUGAGAAAUCGCGACGGGGGGAUCCCAAGUGCCAUUCUUAACGGGAUGGCUUUUCUUAAGUGUAAAAAGCUUUUGGAAUAAGAGCUGGGCAAGACCGGUGCCAGCCGCCGCGGUAACACCGGCAGCUCUAGUGGUAGCUGUUUUUAUUGGGCCUAAAGCGUUCGUAGCCGGUUUGAUAAGUCACUGGUGAAAUCCUGUAGCUUAACUGUGGGAAUUGUUGGUGAUACUGUUGAACUUGAGGUCGGGAGAGGUUAGCGGUACUCCCAGGGUAGAGGUGAAAUUCUGUAAUCCUGGGAGGACCACCUGUGGCGAAGGCGGCUAACUGGAACGAACCUGACGGUGAGGGACGAAAGCUAGGGGCGCGAACCGGAUUAGAUACCCGGGUAGUCCUAGCCGUAAACGAUGCGGACUUGGUGUUGGGAUGGCUUUGAGCCGCUCCGGUGCCGAAGGGAAGCUGUUAAGUCCGCCGCCUGGGAAGUACGGUCGCAAGACUAGAAACUAAAGGAAGU
rnacentral:rRNA from 1 species